rnacentral:rRNA from 1 species
UACAGAGGUCCCGAGCGUUGUUCGGAUUCAUUGGGCGUAAAGGGUGUGUAGGAGGUCUCGUAAGUCGGACGUGAAAUCUCACCGCUUAACGGUGAAACUGCGUUCGAUACUGCUUGGCUAGAGGAUCGGAGGGGGUAUCGGAAUUCAUGGUGUAGCAGUGAAAUGCGUAGAUAUUGGGAAGAACACCUGAGGCGAAGGCGGGUUGCUGGGCCGACACUGACGCUGAGGCGCGAAAGCCAGGGGAGCGAACGGG